AACGAACGCUGGCGGCAUGCCUAACACAUGCAAGUCGAACGAGACCUUCGGGUCUAGCGGCGCACGGGUGCGUAACGCGUGGGAACCUGCCCUUAGGUUCGGAAUAACUCCCCGAAAGGGGUGCUAAUACCGGAUAAUGUCUUCGGACCAAAGAUUUAUCGCCUUUGGAUGGGCCUGCGUUGGAUUAGCUAGAUGGUAGGGUAAAAGCCUACCAAGGCGACGAUCCAUAGCUGGUCUGAGAGGAUGAUCAGCCACACUGGGACUGAGACACGGCCCAGACUCCUACGGGAGGCAGCAGUGGGGAAUAUUAGACAAUGGGCGAAAGCCUGAUCCAGCAAUGCCGCGUGAGUGAUGAAGGCCUUAGGGUUGUAAAGCUCUUUUACCCGGGAUGAUAAUGACAGUACCGGGAGAAUAAGCUCCGGCUAACUCCGUG
rnacentral:rRNA from 1 species